UACAGAGGUGGCAAGCGUUGUUCGGAAUUACUGGGCGUAAAGGGCGCGUAGGCGGCCUUCUAAGUCGAACGUGAAAUCCCCGGGCUCAACCCGGGAACUGCGUCCGAUACUGGAAGGCUUGAAUCCGGGAGAGGGAUGCGGAAUUCCAGGUGUAGCGGUGAAAUGCGUAGAUAUCAGGAAGAACACCCGUGGCUAAGGCGGCUCUCUAGUACGGUACUGACGCUGAGACGCGAAAGCGUGGGGAGCAAACAGG
rnacentral:rRNA from 1 species